CGAUGAAUGCAGCAUUAAUCGUGGGGGGUGUAAAUAUGGCUGCAUCAACUCUCUGGGGAGCUACGAGUGUACCUGUCCACCAGGGUACAAGCUGCACUGGAACAGGAAAGACUGCGUUGAACUCGUGAAGUGUCUUCCUGGACUAGUGGCACCAAAAGCAACACUGACCUGUAGCAAGACGGGCAAGAAAGAGAGCUGCUCCCUCACCUGUGCCUCUAAAGCUCACUAUCUGGCAGAGUCGGACAACAGCUACUCGGUCAGUUGUGGUAUCCCCAUCCUCAGAGGAAAGUCUCCCUCCAGGCUCAACUCCAGCAACAGUCAGAGCUGCAUAGAGACUCUGGCUCCUCCAGUGAAGCAGACGGCUUCUUUCAAGAUUAAAAACGCCAAAUGUCACCUGCACCCCAAACUGACCGGCAGGACGGAGGACAGGGGACGGACACUAGGACCAGG